rnacentral:rRNA from 1 species
GACGAACGCUGGCGGCGUGCUUAACACAUGCAAGUCGUACGGUAAGGCCCUUUCGGGGGUCCACGAGUGGCGAACGGGUGAGUAACACGGGGGUAACCAGCCCACUCCAUUGGGACAACGCUAGGAAACUGGUGCUAAUACUGGUAAUGUGCUACUGCUGCAUGGGGGGGGUUGGAAAGCUCCGGCGGUUGUGGAUGGACUGGCGGCCUAUCAGCUUGUUGGCGGGGUAGUGGCGUACCAAGGCGGCGACGGGUAGCCGGCCUGUGAGGGUGAGCGGCCGCAUUGGGACUGAGAUACGGCCCAGACUGCUACGGGAGGCAGCAGUGGGGAAUAUUGCACAAUGGGCGCAAGGCUGAUGCAGCAGGGCCGCGUGCGGGAUAACGGCCUUCGGGUUGUAAACCGCUUUCAGCAGGGACGAAGCCUUUUGUGACGGUACCUGCAGAAGAAGCACCGGCUAACUACGUG